CCCUUAGAUGUUCUGGGCCGCACGCGCGCUACACUGAUGCAUUCAACGAGUUUCUUCCUGGUCCGAGAGGAAUGGGUAACCUUUUGAAAGUGCAUCGUGAUAGGGAUAGACUAUUGCAAUUAUUGGUCUUCAACGAGGAAUUCCUAGUAGACGUAGUUCAUCAGACUGCAUCGAUUACGUACCUGCCCUUUGUACACACCGCCCGUCGCUCCUACCGAUUGAAUGCUCAGGUGAGCCAUUCGGACUUUCAUCAUGCUGGUUUCCAGUUUUGAUGAAGGAAAGUCUUGCGAACCUUAUCAUUUAGAGGAAGGAGAAGUCGUAACA
rnacentral:rRNA from 1 species